rnacentral:lncRNA from 1 species
GGAAAAGGACCAAAUACACAAAAGAAUCCCUUCCACGACCUGGUAAGGUCGGUACGAUAGCGACUACUAAAAUAUACCCAAAGUACUAGACAGAAUCCAAAAUAUACCAAAUAUACACAAGUAGUCUCGAGUACAAAAGACUAAACCAGAGUAGAUAGAGGAGAAUUAGCCUCUCGAACGAGAGUAAGCUCACCCUGGUCCGAAUUAGUACUGGAAGGUAAGAAUCACGUCAAUGUCGGCUGCUACGACUCGGAUAUGCAUCAGGAAAAGAUACAGAAAUGUAGUAUGAGUACCAAAGCAACGGUUAUUCAGUAGAAAUCAUCGGCCGACGGAGCUCAACACAGAAAAAGUGUAACUACAAUGCAAGGAUGUAAUCUAAGUCAACAGUAAAAGAAAAAAAAAAAAAAAGGAUAAACAACUAUCAAGCUAUGCCAAUAAGAUAAAGGAUUAAAUUCGAGCGAUACAGAAAAUAAAUAACAUAAAUAACGCAGGAAUUACAGACAAAUCAAACAUAACCUAAUUGGGCCCCUAUAAGCCCGCUAGGCAUAGAAACAUAACCUAACUGGACCUCCAUAAGCCCGCUAGGCAUAUUGAAGAAGACAAUUAACCCAACCAUACUCCAUAAGACGGUGGGAAAACAAAAGUAGCAAUUAAAGAAAAUAACCGUAAAUAAUCUGUAACUGAGCCAAUCCCAUAAAAUCGUAGUAGUCCUCUAGAUGUGCACCGGAAUUGAAUCGGCACUUAUGGGUAGUAACAAGAGGCCAGAAAUCAGACUUGAACCGAUAGUGAUGGAUAAUAUCAAGAGGACGUGUGCCAGAUUCAAACCAGACAUAGUGGGUAAUAACGAGAGGCCACAUAUAUAAUAUAUAUCAGAACUCAUAAUCUGAUGCCGAACUCGAAGCGGAACUCAGCGGAACCACGAUCAUAAUCAGAUGCUUGACUCGAACCAGAACUCAAAGAAACCACAACCAUAAUCAGAUGCCGAACUCAAAGGAACCACAAUCAUAAGCAGAUGUCAAACUCAAACCGGAACUCUAAGGAACCACAACCAUACACAAAUGCUCAAACCUAAACUCAUAGUAACCAUACCCCACUGUAAUAUUAAAAUUCAUACCAUACCAUAAAAAUAUCAACGUGGUAUAAAAGUUCACAAUCAAUGAUAGAAAUAAAGUAUAUACUGAACCUGAAUAGAAGCUAAAAUACGUCUAAUUACGGUAGACAAGUCUUAAUUUUAAAGGGACAAAUUCAAGGUUUGCUAUUUAAUUCUACAUCCUAAACUAAUAGAUGCUAUAUUAUAUUGAAAGACAAAAUAUCAAAAUCUACUAAAAUGAGAUACUAAUCCGAAUAAAUAAGACAUGCUAUAUAUGUAUAAUGGUACGCAACUACAAGUAAUUGUAUAGAACUAGCAUAAUAGUCCACAAUUUCAAUAAAUAAGCUCAAUCAAAAGAUAGGAUAAGCCUAGCCUACUUAGACGUCAAAACUAAAAUAUCUCUUCACGAAGCCUCCAGAUAGUGCCCUACUAGAAUUCAGACUUGAAUAACUUGAGUAGAUAAUUAAUUUUUCCCUUAUAUUCUUUCACAACUCACAUACGUACAUAUAUAGAGAGAGAAAAGUAGUAAGAGCGACAACAAUGGUAGACAAGGUAUCAUGUAGAAAAUUAUAGGCACGUUCAUAUGUGAGAAAAAACCAAAGGAAAUAAAGCUCCAAUACAAUAUAUAUUUAUAUAUACAUAU